GUACGUUGAUUUAUUUUGAU
rnacentral:miRNA from 1 species